AGCAGCACAGGGCUUGCAGUCAGGAAAACCUCUGAUACCGGAAGCCUUGGGAUCAUGGUUAGAUUCUUUUCAAGGCAGUGAAAUCCCAAGUCUCUGUCUUUUCAUGCUGAUUGGUUUCUGGAAAACAAAUAUAUCCUUUGAAAUUUGAAAGCAGAGAGCUCAAGGGAGAAAACUUGGACCCAGAUGAAGAAACUGGAAGGUCAAUCACAAGUAAGACAUCAGAAGGGUGAGAG
rnacentral:lncRNA from 1 species